rnacentral:rRNA from 1 species
AGGAUCAUUGUCGAAAUCUGCAAAGCAGAAUGACUUGCGAACAAGUGAAAAUCAUGGUUUGUAAGGCACCACGGUCGCCUUUCCAACCGAUCAUUGGAGGCGGUUCCCGUCCCUCCCAUAUGGUCAAAAUCAACAAUACCUCAGCGCGGAAUGCGCCAAGGAAAACAAACAGAAGGUACGCCUACACCUCUUGCACCGUAAAUGGUUGUGUGGUGUGGCUUGCGUAUUUCGCUCAAUCUAAUGUUACAACGACUCUCGGCAACGGAUAUCUUGGCUCUCGCAUCGAUGAAGAACGUAGCAAAAUGCGAUAGCUGGUGUGAAUUGCAGAAUCCCGUGAACCAUCGAGUCUUUGAACGCAAGUUGCGCCUGAAGCCGUCAGGCCAAGGGCACGCCUGCCUGGGUGUCACCCUCCCCCUUGCCCAAGUAACACGCCUCCUCCCACCGAAAAUUGGGAAGGGGGUGCGAUGGGCGGAUAAAUGGCCUCCCAUGGUGCGCAAUUCGUGGUUGGCCCAAAAUUAGCACUUUGGCUUAGGAAGCCACGACAAGCAUUGGCGAAAAACUCCGGUGAUUCCUUGAUCGUUGUUGUCGUGCUAGACUUUGUAGCGUGCUAUAAAAUACCCUCGGUGCUUGCAUUCUAAGAUUUGCGACCCCAG